GAGGCCCAGUGGCAGAGCUCCUGCUUUGCAUGCAGAAGGUUCCAGGUUCAACCCCUGGUACA
rnacentral:tRNA from 1 species